AUGAAACAAGAGAGAAGUUCUGAUGAUGCUGACUGAAAUAACAGAGACCAGGCUGGUGCUACAUGGUGACACAAGACUGGAAAUAGUCCAGGUUUGGGAAAUAUUCACAAGUGCACCCCAGGCCCGAUUUUGAAACAUCUUUUGAGACAUCCAAGUGGAUAUGUCAAAGAAAGACAUUAGACAAUGAAAGAGGCUUUCCCACUCCCAGUGCAAGUGACCUCCUCAUCCCCAGUAGAAGCAACCUUACUGGGUGUGGGAUAGUGGCUUCUCUAAUCUCAUCUUCAGAAAGUAACCCCUCAUUGCCCAAGGAAACUGUAAUGGCCUCCUCUGAGGCAGUUGCCAUGGAAGACAAUACUGAUUCUCCUCAGGACCUAUCUCGACUACUUCUCCUUGAUUCUUGACCUACAACUAGACUCAAGUCACAAAAGGCCCCUACAGUUCACAGGGAUCCUGACUGCUUUCCUUUCUGUAAGAUGUCACACCCACCGUUCCAUGACAUUGCUGACAAUAUGCUGAUUGGACCUACUGAACAAAAGUAGCAACUACUCUAGACUUACUGGUAAGACAUUUGCAUAUUCAGCAGUAAAAAAUGUGACAAAAAUUCAGGGGCCUUCCACCUCAGUGAAAUUCUUAUGGGUCCAAUGGCCUGCAGCAUGUCGAGACAUCACUUCUAAAGUGAAGGAUAAGUCCUUGCAUCUGACCUCCCUUACAACCAAAAA
rnacentral:lncRNA from 1 species